GCUGGCGGCGUGCCUAAUACAUGCAAGUCGAGCGAACAGAUGAGAAGCUUGCUUCUCUGAUGUUAGCGGCGGACGGGUGAGUAACACGUGGGUAACCUACCUAUAAGACUGGGAUAACUCCGGGAAACCGGGGCUAAUACCGGAUAAUAUUUUGAACCGCAUGGUUCAAUAGUGAAAGACGGUUUCGGCUGUCACUUAUAGAUGGACCCGCGCCGUAUUAGCUAGUUGGUAAGGUAACGGCUUACCAAGGCGACGAUACGUAGCCGACCUGAGAGGGUGAUCGGCCACACUGGAACUGAGACACGGUCCAGACUCCUACGGGAGGCAGCAGUAGGGAAUCUUCCGCAAUGGGCGAAAGCCUGACGGAGCAACGCCGCGUGAGUGAUGAAGGUCUUCGGAUCGUAAAACUCUGUUGUUAGGGAAGAACAAAUUUGUUAGUAACUGA
rnacentral:rRNA from 2 species